CAAGAAUCAUCCAUGAAUUGCUUUCAGUGCCUCACUUUGAACAGUUGCUGCAAGACCCGUUUGCCAACUAUGUCAUUCAAUCUGCACUUGAAGUUAGCAAGGAACAAUACUGGGCUCCUCCAAACUUCAGACGAUCAUUGUCAGUGAAAUUGAAGUUUUUGGCUGCUAGUAGGAAAUUAAUUAAGGUGAUGUUUAUGUUCGUCCAUCUGCAAAAAUACAUCCAACUGCUAAGAUUGGCCCUAAUGUUUCAAUCUCAGCAAAUGUUCGUAUAGCAGCAGGUGUAAGGCUUAUAAGUUGCAUCAUCUUAGAUGAUGUUUAAAUAAAGGAAAAUGCAGUAGUUAUGCAUGCUAUUGUUGGAAGGAAAUCAUCUAUUGGGAAAUGGUCGCGUGCCCAAGAGACUACAAUGCCAAGCUUGGAAUCACCAUCCUUGGAGAAGCUGUGACAGUUGAAGAUGAAGUCGUGGUGACUAACAGCAUCGUGCUCCCAAACAAGACCCUUAAUGUUAGUGUACAGGAGGAUAUCAUUCUGUGAGGACAAGGAACCAAGAUCCGGCUGGAAUUCAAUGCAGUGUUUAGUUGUGAUUCUUCAAUUUUUUUUUUAAUGUCAGAGCACAUUUGCAGUUUUGCCUUUGUGUAAUGGAACAACUUGCACAAGCCAAUCUUCAAACACACACUUCAAAAUAACAAACCUAACCUAGUUACUCUUACAACCAAGCCCAAAAUGCUACACAUUGAGUAAAUUCCGUGUAGCAAGAAGAGCCACUCGAAAUCGAUUUCCUCCCUUUUGUUGAAGUUGAUUUCAUCUGUUUUUUGCAGCAACAAGAAGGUGACUUCAGCCCAGCCCUUGUUUUUUUUUUGCCCCGGUUUUUUUGAGGCCUCUUUUAUUCAUUCAAUAGUAAACAAUAGCAAAGAGAGUCCUAGAAUCCUAGGUCCCUAUCAUGCAUUGAUCCACCUAGUAAUAGUCUAACAGAGAGCUUUCAUU